rnacentral:rRNA from 1 species
UACGUAGGGUGCAAGCGUUAAUCGGAAUUACUGGGCGUAAAGCGUGCGCAGGCGGUUUUGUAAGUCUGUUGUGAAAUCCCCGGGCUCAACCUGGGAAUGGCAAUGGAGACUGCAAGGCUAGAGUUUGGCAGAGGGGGGUAGAAUUCCACGUGUAGCAGUGAAAUGCGUAGAGAUGUGGAGGAACACCGAUGGCGAAGGCAGCCCCCUGGGUCAAAACUGACGCUCAUGCACGAAAGCGUGGGGAGCGAACAGG